UACGGAGGGUGCGAGCGUUGUCCGGAAUCAUUGGGCGUAAAGGGCGCGUAGGUGGCCCGGUCAGUUCGUGGUGAAAGCGCGGGGCUCAACUCCGCGUCGGCCAUGAAUACUGCUGGGCUGGAGCACUGUAGAGGCAGGCGGAAUUCCGGGUGUAGCGGUGGAAUGCGUAGAGAUCCGGAAGAACACCGGUGGCGAAGGCGGCCUGCUGGGCAGUAGCUGACACUGAGGCGCGACAGCGUGGGGAGCAAACAGG
rnacentral:rRNA from 1 species